AUUGAACGCUGGCGGCAUGCCUUACACAUGCAAGUCGAACGGUAACAGGUCUUCGGAUGCUGACGAGUGGCGAACGGGUGAGUAAUACAUCGGAACGUGCCCAGACGUGGGGGAUAACGAGGCGAAAGCUUUGCUAAUACCGCAUACGAUCUAAGGAUGAAAGCAGGGGACCGCAAGGCCUUGUGCGUUUGGAGCGGCCGAUGGCAGAUUAGGUAGUUGUGGGAUAAAAGCUUACCAAGCCGACGAUCUGUAGCUGGUCUGAGAGGACGACCAGCCACACUGGGACUGAGACACGGCCCAGACUCCUACGGGAGGCAGCAGUGGGGAAUUUUGGACAAUGGGCGAAAGCCUGAUCCAGCAAUGCCGCGUGCAGGAUGAAGGCCUUCGGGUUGUAAACUGCUUUUGUACGGAACGAAAAGGCUCUGGCUAAUACCUGGGGCACAUGACGGUACCGUAAGAAUAAACACCGGCUAACUACGU
rnacentral:rRNA from 1 species